AUUGAACGCUAGCGGGAUGCCUUACACAUGCAAGUCGAACGGCAGCAUAAGAGAGCUUGCUCUCUUGAUGGCGAGUGGCGAACGGGUGAGUAAUGUAUCGGAACGUGCCCAGUAGCGGGGGAUAACUACGCGAAAGAGUGGCUAAUACCGCAUGAGAUCUACGGAUGAAAGCAGGGGAUCGCAAGACCUUGUGCUACUAGAGCGGCCGAUGGCAGAUUAGGUAGUUGGUGGGAUAAAAGCUUACCAAGCCAACGAUCUGUAGCUGGUCUGAGAGGACGAUCAGCCACACUGGGACUGAGACACGGCCCAG
rnacentral:rRNA from 1 species